AAGGAGCUUGCUCCUUUGACGUUAGCGGCGGACGGGUGAGUAACACGUGGAUAACCUACCUAUAAGACUGGGAUAACUUCGGGAAACCGGAGCUAAUACCGGAUAAGAUUUUGAACCGCAUGGUUCAAUAGUGAAAGACGGCCUUGCUGUCACUUAUAGAUGGAUCCGCGCCGUAUUAGCUAGUUGGUAAGGUAACGGCUUACCAAGGCAACGAUACGUAGCCGACCUGAGAGGGUGAUCGGCCACACUGGAACUGAGACACGGUCCAGACUCCUACGGGAGGCAGCAGUAGGGAAUCUUCCGCAAUGGGCGAAAGCCUGACGGAGCAACGCCGCGUGAGUGAUGAAGGUCUUCGGAUCGUAAAACUCUGUUAUCAGGGAAGAACAAACGUGUAAGUAACUGUGCACGUCUUGACGGUACCUGAUCAGAAAGCCACGGCUAACUACGUGCCAGCAGCCGCGGUAAUACGUAGGUGGCAAGCGUUAUCCGGAAUUAUUGGGCGUAAAGCGCGCGUAGGCGGUUUUUUAAGUCUGAUGUGAAAGCCCACGGCUCAACCGUGGAGGGUCAUUGGAAACUGGAAAACUUGAGUGCAGAAGAGGAAAGUGGAAUUCCAUGUGUAGCGGUGAAAUGCGCAGAGAUAUGGAGGAACACCAGUGGCGAAGGCGACUUUCUGGUCUGUAACUGACGCUGAUGUGCGAAAGCGUGGGGAUCAAACAGGAUUAGAUACCCUGGUAGUCCACGCCGUAAACGAUGAGUGCUAAGUGUUAGGGGGUUUCCGCCCCUUAGUGCUGCAGCUAACGCAUUAAGCACUCCGCCUGGGGAGUACGACCGCAAGGUUGAAACUCAAAGGAAUUGACGGGGACCCGCACAAGCGGUGGAGCAUGUGGUUUAAUUCGAAGCAACGCGAAGAACCUUACCAAAUCUUGACAUCCUUUGACCGCUCUAGAGAUAGAGUUUUCCCCUUCGGGGGACAAAGUGACAGGUGGUGCAUGGUUGUCGUCAGCUCGUGUCGUGAGAUGUUGGGUUAAGUCCCGCAACGAGCGCAACCCUUAAGCUUAGUUGCCAUCAUUAAGUUGGGCACUCUAAGUUGACUGCCGGUGACAAACCGGAAGAAGGUGGGGAUGACGUCAAAUCAUCAUGCCCCUUAUGAUUUGGGCUACACACGUGCUACAAUGGACAAUACAAAGGGCAGCUAAACCGCGAGGUCAAGCAAAUCCCAUAAAGUUGUUCUCA
rnacentral:rRNA from 1 species